rnacentral:rRNA from 1 species
CACGUAGGGGGCAAGCGUUGUCCGGAUUUAUUGGGCGUAAAGAGCUCGUAGGUGGCUGAGUAAGUCGGAUGUUAAAUCCCCAGGCUCAACCUGGGACACCACCCGAUACUGCUCUGGCUAGAGUCCGGUAGGGGAGCGUGGAAUUCCUGGUGGUAGCGGUGAAAUGCGCAGAGUAUCAGGAGGAACACCGAUGGCGAAGGCAGGAUCUCCGUGGGCCGGACUACUGACGCUGGAGGAGCGAAAGACGUGGGGAGCGAAC